UUCGGGAUGCCGGCGAGUGGCGAACGGGUGAGUAAUACGUGGAAACCUAUCCCGAGGUGGGGGAUAACAGCUGGAAACGGCUGCUAAUACCGCAUAAGCCCUAAGGGGGAAAGAUUUAUCGCCUUGGGAGGGGUCCACGUCGGAUUAGCUAGUUGGUAGGGUAAAGGCCUACCAAGGCGACGAUCCGUAGCUGGUCUGAGAGGAUGGACAGCCACACUGGGACUGAGACACGGCCCAGACUCCUACGGGAGGCAGCAGUGGGGAAUAUUGCGCAAUGGGGGAAACCCUGACGCAGCGAUGCCGCGUGGGUGAAGAAGGCCUUCGGGUUGUAAAGCCCUUUCAGUGGGGAAGAUAGUGACGGUACCCACAGAAGAAGCUCCGGCUAACUCCGUGCCAGCAGCCGCGGUAAUACGGAGGGGGCGAGCGUUGUUCGGAAUUACUGGGCGUAAAGGGCGCGUAGGCGGUGCAGCAAG
rnacentral:rRNA from 1 species